rnacentral:rRNA from 1 species
UACGUAGGUGGCAAGCGUUGUCCGGAAUUACUGGGUGUAAAGCGCGUGUAGGCGGGAGGCCAAGUCUGCUGUGAAAUCGCUCGGCUCAACUGGGCGGGGUCGGUGGAAACUGGUCACCUGGAGGACGGUAGAGGCGAGUGGAAUUCCCGGUGUAGUGGUGAAAUGCGUAGAGAUCGGGAGGAACACCGGUGGCGAAGGCGGCGAUCUGGGUCGAUACUGACGCUGAGGUGCGAAAGCGUGGGGAGCAAACAGG